GGGUCCAGGCCGGCGCCGGAUGCUCACCUCGCGCUCCGUGGGUAGGUAGUCGAAACGGAACACGAAGCGCCAGUUGAAGUUCCCCUCCCCAGUCAGAGAGUUGAAGUGAACGUCCGUCUCCUGCUUGUCAGGCUCCAGCCCCUUCACCCAGCUGGAGUCGGGAAGGGUGCAGGCUGAGGGGUGGGCAUCUGUGCCUGGGCCAAGCUGGAACCGGCUCCUCACCCAGCCUGCCCCUCCACUCACCACCAGCCCAGUCCCUCCACCCAGCUGCAGCCACUGUCCAGGGCCUAGGGGACAGAGCUCUGGCUCAGCCCAGGGCCCAAGCCCCUGUUCUCAAUCUCACCUCAGUACACAGCCACGUGCCCGGCCCAGCCUGCAGGCCCACCUUUUCACAUAGAUGUCGCUUGACAUCUCUCCGGUGAGCGGGUUCACGUCAUCCAGAACUACAUCCUCCGUGUUCCAGAUGAUGACUCUGAGCUCAUAGCUGAGGGAUGGGUUGGGGGAGGGUUUUCAGACUCCAGAGAGGGUUCCCGGGAGGGGCUGCAGGAAGGACCUGGGCAAGGGCCACUGGUAUUCACAGAGCACCCGAUGUGUGCCCAGCUGGGUGACCAGGCAGCCCCAGGUAUCACUGACACCCCAGCCACUGCAGACGGUACCCAAGGGUCUGCUGACCCAAGCUGGGCCAGUGAGGUUCUCCCUCCAUACAUUUGCAAUCAAGACCUCGAAAGGUUAUCAUAGCAUCAGAUGCAGAGCUGGAAUCACCACAAGCCAAAGUGCUGUGCGAGCAAAGACAAGUAGGAGAAGGAGAGACCGAGAGGGGAUGACAGCAUGAAGCCCCUGAGGUACAGAAGGAGAGGCUGCAACACUCUUGAUCCUACCCCAGACAGCCUGGUCCUUGGCUGUCAUGAGUCCUGGAUAUCUGUUGUUUUCUCUUGCCCAGUUAUCAGUUUCCUCUCAUGUUUUGACAGCACCCUUAUCUUCUCCAGGCCACCCCUACUGCUGUCGAUCUGUGUGACCCUGUGGGGUACACCAUCCCCUACCUGGCUCCAGAGAUGGGGUCAUCACCUAGAACAUCACCCAGGACCAGCCAAUCAACAUAUUACAGCCCCCUGAUCACAAUGAUUGGUUCAGGAACCAGCCUUUGACCCAAGUUGGUCUGAUGAGAGCCAGCCCAAAACUCUUGCUCUAACUGGGAAAGAGGUGUUUACUUUUCUGCUCAAGUAGUCCAGUCGGUAAGAUGUAAGCCUGAUACUGUUAAAAGCCAGGCACCCUUAUAAGCCACUCUGACCCCAGACUGCGAAAGCCUCCCUGAAGAGUGACACCAAGGAAAGCAAAGCCAAGAGAUAGACAGUGACAGCCUGCUGACAACAUCUGAAGUGCAUAUGCCCUCCUCUCAGGCUCAGGUCAGAAGGGAGUUGGUUGGUAUUUGCGUGACAGACACCCAACUCACAGUGGCUUAUGAACAAAAGGAAAUUUAAUGGCUCACCUACCUGAACCCUGGGUCAGUACUGCCUGCUUCACUGGGGGCCCUUGUACAAGGUAAGAUGUGCCUGCCCGUGGAGGAGGAUCCAGGACUCUCUCUCACCUGAUUGGCUGCCGAGGCUUGAUAUCCACUGGGGGUGGGGCAGGCACAUCUCGUGGGAAGAUGUCAAUCCACAUGUGAAGGGAUCCCUGCCAGCACAGGAUGAGGCUGAAGGGCCUUGGUGGGGUCCCACCUACCCUAAGGGCCCUGUCAUCGGAGGCUGCACCUUGCCCCAGGUGGAGAGAAGAGCUGGGGGUUAAGAGGGCAGAUCCUGAGGGAUAAGGAAGAAUGUGGAGUCUGAAGUGCAGGGUUCCAGGCUUAGCCUGGGGGUUCAGAGAUGAGGCCCCAGAAGUGGAAGCCUGAAAUCAGAAGUGACAUCUAGUGUUCCCCAGGUCCAGAUCUCAGGAAUCUGGGGUAGAGAACAGGUUGGGAAUGCCAUGUCUGAGCCUUGGUGACCAAGGGGUAGGGAUCCUUCAGAACUAGGAUCCAAGGUGGGGUUAUGGAGUCCGGGAUGGAAGACCAAGUCUGAAAUGGGGAUGCUGGGAACCAGGAUGAGGAGCCAGAGUCAGAAGUGGCUCAGGGAUGAGCAUCCAGGGAUGCCAGGUCCAGGACCAGGUGGGAGUCCUCUCUCACCUGCAGCAGCCCUGGGCUUCGGGGAUGGUAGAGGGGUCGUGUUUCUACAUGCUCAGGUACCAGCUGGAUCCCAAGCCUUGGCAUCUCCUGCCAACGCCGCAGCACCAGCAAUGCCUGGGCCUCCUCAGGGACCUCACUUGCCACUUUGGAGCUCCCUCCACCUGCAACAAGAAGUGUGUGAGUUUGGGUUCCGCACAGUUCUCAAUUCUCCUUCCACCGCCCCUUAAAAGAUGCUCUAGGCUGAGGCAGCUACUGCUUAGGACAAACCCUACCUGGGCUGGGAGGGCAAAUCCACAAUGCACAGAAAGUGGAGGGAUACUUCUGUAAGAAGCCAGUGAAGGGCCAGCAGUCACAGGGACAGUGGGAUUGGAGGGGCUGUGGCCUUUGUGCAGGCCUUGUUUAGAGAAUACACUACUGGCCAUUUAUGAAAUGUGAGCUAAAUUCUAUAGCCAUAUUGUAUGUUGUAUGGGACCCCUUAUGGGCCACUCUGUGUCCUCAAUUACUUAGGGCUAUGAGGUGGUCCACUAGGGCUCUUUGGGGAUCUCACGCUCACCAACAAAGGCCAUUUUGUCUCCACCAUUGUCCUUACUCAGCCAAACUCACCUCCUCUGCUUGCAGAAGGAGGUGGGUUCUUUGGGGAGCACACUAGCCUGGGCACCAGGGACCCCGGUAACUUGUUCUACCACCUUGCUCCACUGUCUGGACUGUUCAGCAGAGAGAGGCUGGUACCUGGGGGCAGAGUCUCUGGCGGUGUCAGAAAGACUUUGCUGCCCACCUUGACAGCUCCAGCUCGGUAUUCAGGAGCAGGGAGGCCACAGCGUUGGCACAGCCCUGCCAGGAUCUGUGAAGGCCGGAAUGCAUCACGCCAGGCAUUGUACCCACCCCUGAAGGCAGGAAAAGAAGGUACCUCAGUUGGAUCCAGCAUAUGAACAUGACUGGGGACAGGUGCAGGGAUGGGACCCUUGAAGACACGGGAUCCAGGUUUAAGUUGCAUGGCGGACAGGUUAGUCCGUGCUUACGGUAACUGUGAAAAUUAAAUAUGCAUGCCAGGUGUUCCUAUAAAGGCGAUAUUGAUAUAAUUACCUCCAUUUUUCAGAUGAGGAAAUUGAUGCUCAGAGAGGCCAAGUGACUUAGUAGUCACAGGACCCCAACUCCCAAGCCCAUUUCUUGACCACUAAGCCAUAAUGUCUUGGUCGAGGGUGAGUCCCCCUUCUAUGAAAUCAAAGGAUCUGGACACACAGGUGGGAUGUGAGCUUGAAUGUCUUUGGUCAGACUUCGAAUGGCUCCUGAGGGCCCUGCUGGACUCACAUGUCAUACUGGGACGCCAGCCCACAGUUUGCCCUGUGGUGGCUGUAGAAUCGGUUUUCCAGAUCAAUGUGGGUCUCUCCGAUGAGGUCAUCAGAACCCACAAGGUCAUGAUCAAACACAGCCACAGUCAGCUCUGGCUCAGCAGGGAGAGAGAUGCUGAGCUCCAGGACCCUGGCCAGGAGAGAGCAGGGCUGGGAACAUCUCCAUGCCUAGGAGGCGAUCUUGUGGGGGUAGGGGCGUGAGGGGACGCAGCAGCCUCUGUCCAUUCCGCCCCCAUCACCACACCAGCUGCGUGAGGGAGAGACACAGGGCUAGAUGGCAAAGCUGCUCCUAUUCCCCAGCCCAGGCCCCAGCCUCACUCUCCAAAGAUGGGGUUCAGUUGCUUAGGGAUGUAGCGCUCCUUGGUGUCCAGCCGCUCCCGGCCAGCGCUCACCACCACGUAGGGGUCUGCUUUGCCGUUGGGAUCCGCCGGAGCCAGGUUGGUAGCCUAGGGAGACAGGACAGGGUGAAACUGAGAGAAAUGUCAUUGUCAUAACCCAAGGUUGUCCCUGCUGGACCUUCUCUCCAAUUAAGUGGCAACAGGAAGUUACCGAGGAGAGAUCUUCCACUGCAAGGAGUUAGCUGAGAGGUUGGAUAAGAUGAUCUUUAUUUUCUUUUAAAUUAAUUAUUGAAAUAAUUAAGACACAAAUCGGUGUAAAAAAAUAUAAUGAAACAAAGAUGGCUCAUGGAAUGUGGAAGAUGAAUAAGGGACCUACUUUAUAACUUUCCAUAUCAGUUGAUUUUCAUUUUUUACAAUGAGCAUAUUUUACUAUUUAAAUUAAAAAUAUUUUAACUAAAUAAAAGUGAUACAAUGAGCAUGCAUGUGCCCAGUUUCAUAAGUAAAACUCUAUUGACAAAUGUCCCCCUAAAUCCUCUUACCUGACUUAAUUUCCUUUCAUCCCUUAAGCAGCCAGAACCCUUUAUUUGGUAUUUCACUCUCACAAAAAAAAAAAAGGUAAAAAUACUUUUACUACAUAUACAUGUGCCCUAAACAACACAUAGCACUAUUUUGCAUAAUUUAAACUAUAUGUAUUUUUUUUCUUGGCUGUACCUGCAGGAUGUAGAAGUCCCCAAGCCAGAGACUGAACCUGCACCACAGUAGUGACAACACUGGAUCCUUAACCAGCUGAGCCACCAGGGAACUCCGAGAAUCUUCCAUUUUACUAAAUACUGCCAGCCUGUCUCCAAAGUUGUUAUAGCAGUUUACAUUCUGUGCCAGGCAGAACGCCCCCCACAAAGAUGUCCAAGUACCACUGCCCUGAGCCUAUGUAUAUGUUACUUUACGUGGUAAAAGGGACGUUGCACUAGUACACCUGCUCACCCGUACUGGGACAGACAGAGCUCCACAGCUGCCAGGGCUCCUGUCUAAUUGCACCAGUUAAAGGGAGGGAAAUUAGGAGUUCCCUAUGGAACAGCAGAUUAAGGAUCCAGUAUUAAAACUGCAGCGGCUUGAGUCUAUGCUGUGGCACAGGUUUGAGCCCUGGUCUGGGAACUUCUACUUGCCAUGGGUGAGGUCAAAAAAAGAAAAAUAGGGACUUCCUGUCAUGGCUCAGCAGUAACGAACCCAACUAGUAUCCAUGAGGAUGUGGGUUCAGUCCCUGGCCUUGCUGAGUGGGUUAAAGGAUUCGGCAUUGCUGCGGCUGUGGCGUAGGUCAGCAGCUGUAGCUCCGAUUCAACCCCUAGCCCAGGAACUUCCAUAUC
ensembl:lncRNA